rnacentral:rRNA from 1 species
GAUGAACGCUAGCUACAGGCUUAACACAUGCAAGUCGAGGGGCAGCGGGAUUGAAGCUUGCUUCAAUUGCCGGCGACCGGCGCACGGGUGAGUAACGCGUAUCCAACCUUCCGUACACUCAGGGAUAGCCUUUCGAAAGAAAGAUUAAUACCUGAUGGUAUGAUGAGAUCGCAUGGUAUCAUCAUUAAAGAUUUAUCGGUGUACGAUGGGGAUGCGUUCCAUUAGGUAGUAGGCGGGGUAACGGCCCACCUAGCCUACGAUGGAUAGGGGUUCUGAGAGGAAGGUCCCCCCACAUUGGAACUGAGACACGGUCCAAACUCCUACGGGAGGCAGCAGUGAGGAAUAUUGGUCAAUGGACGAGAGUCUGAACCAGCCAAGUAGCGUGAAGGAUGAAGGUCCUACGGAUUGUAAACUUCUUUAUACGGGAAUAAACCUCCCACGUGUGGGAGCUUGUAUGUACCUUAUGAAUAAGCAUCGGCUAACUCCGUGCCAGCAGCC